rnacentral:tRNA from 1 species
GAAAAUGUGCCUGAAAUUUAAGGAUAACUUUGAUAGAGUUAACAAUAGAGGCUAGAACCCUCUCAUUUUCU